rnacentral:rRNA from 1 species
GAGUUUGAUCCUGGCUCAGGAUUAACGCUGGCGGCGUGCCUGACACAUGCAAGUCGAACGAGUUCUAGUUGCCCGCAAGGGUGACUAGCGCGAGUGGCGGACGGGUGAGUAACACGUGGGCAACCUGCCUGAGAGCGCGGAAUAACCCUGCGAAAGCAGAGCUAAUACCGCAUGUGGUUGUUGGUUGGCAUCUUCUAACAACUAAAGUCGCAAGACGCUCUCAGAUGGGCCCGCGGCCUAUUAGCUAGUUGGUGAGGUAACGGCCCACCAAGGCAUUGAUGGGUAGCUGGUCUGAGAGGACGGACAGCCACACUGGGACUGAGACACGGCCCAGACUCCUACGGAGGCAGCAGUGAGGAAUUUUCCGCAAUGGGCGAAAGCCUGACGGAGCAGCGCCGCGUGAGGGAUGAAGUCUCUAGGGAUGUAAACCUCUGUUGGGAGGGACGAAGAUCUGACGGUACCUCCUGAGGAAGCCCCGGCUAACUACGUGCCAGCAGCCGCCGUAAG